GGUCCCAUAGCUCAGUUGGUUAGAGCGUCGUGCUAAUAUGAGGAGCUUCUCCUGCUUAAUAACGCGAAGGCCGCGAGUUCGACCCUCGUUGGGACCA
rnacentral:tRNA from 1 species